GGCCCCGUAGCUCAGCUGGAUAGAGCAACAGCCUUCUAAGCUGUGGGUCAGAAGUUCGAAUCUUCUCGGGGUCG
rnacentral:tRNA from 1 species